rnacentral:rRNA from 1 species
UAGAUAUCACUUGGAACCCCGAUAGCGAAGGCAGCUUCCCAGGCUCGUUCUGACGCUGAUGCGCGAGAGCGUGGGUAGCGAACAGGAUUAGAUACCCUGGUAGUCCACGCCGUAAACGAUGCUCACUGGAUCUUGGCGAUACACGGCCAGGGUUCAAGCGAAAGUAUUAAGUGAGCCACCUGGGGAGUACGUCGGCAACGAUGAAACUCAAAGGAAUUGACGGGGGCCCGCACAAGCGGAGGAACAUGUGGUUUAAUUCGAUGAUACGCGAGGAACCUUACCCGGGUUUAAAUGUAGAUUGCAUGAGGUGGAAACACUUCUUCCCUUCGGGGCUAUUUACAAGGUGCUGCAUGGUUGUCGUNNNNNNNNNNACAAGGUGCUGCAUGGUUGUCGUCAGCUCGUGCCGUGAGGUGUCGGGUUAAGUCCCAUAACGAGCGCAACCCCUAUCGCCAGUUGCCAUCGGUUGAAGCCGGGCACUCUGUCGAGACUGCCACCGUAAGGUGCGAGGAAGGCGGGGAUGACGUCAAAUCAGCACGGCCCUUACACCCGGGGCGACACACGUGUUACAAUGGCCGGUACAGAGGGCAGCCACGGGGUGACCCGGAGCGAAUCUCUAAAGCCGGUCGUAGUUCGGACUGGAGUCUGCAACCCGACUCCACGAAGUUGGAUUCGCUAGUAAUCGCGCAUCAGCCAUGGCGCGGUGAAUACGUUCCCGGGCCUUGUACACACCGCCCGUCAAGCCAUGGAAGCCGGGAGUACCUGAAGAUCGUGACCGCGAGGAACGGGCUAGGGUAAUACCGGUAACUGGGGCUAAGUCGUAACAAGGUAGCCGUACCGGAAGGUGCGGCUGGAACACCUCCUUUCUGGAGC